rnacentral:rRNA from 1 species
UGCCCUGCACUCUGGGACAAGCCCUGGAAACGGGGUCUAAUACCGGAUACUGACCCGCUUGGGCAUCCAAGCGGUUCGAAAGCUCCGGCGGUGCAGGAUGAGCCCGCGGCCUAUCAGCUUGUUGGUGAGGUAAUGGCUCACCAAGGCGACGACGGGUAGCCGGCCUGAGAGGGCGACCGGCCACACUGGGACUGAGACACGGCCCAGAUUCCUACGGGAGGCAGCAGUGGGGAAUAUUGCCCAAUGGGCGAAAGCCUGAUGCAGCGACGCCGCUUGAGGGAUGACGGCCUUCGGGUUGUAAACCUCUUUCAGCAGGGAAGAAGCGAAAGUGACGGUACCUGCAGAAGAAGCGCCGGCUAACUACGUGCCAGCAGCCGCGGUAAUACGUAGGGCGCAAGCGUUGUCCGGAAUUAUUGGGCGUAAAGAGCUCGUAGGCGGCUUGUCACGUCGGUUGUGAAAGCCCGGGGCUUAACCCCGGGUCUGCAGUCGAUACGGGCAGGCUAGAGUUCGGUAGGGGAGAUCGGAAUUCCUGGUGUAGCGGUGAAAUGCGCAGAUAUCAGGAGGAACACCGGUGGCGAAGGCGGAUCUCUGGGCCGAUACUGACGCUGAGGAGCGAAAGCGUGGGGAGCGAACAGGAUUAGAUACCCUGGUAGUCCACGCCGUAAACGGUGGGCACUAGGUGUGGGCAACAUUCCACGUUGUCCGUGCCGCAGCUAACGCAUUAAGUGCCCCGCCUGGGGAGUACGGCCGCAAGGCUAAAACUCAAAGGAAUUGACGGGGGCCCGCACAAGCGGCGGAGCAUGUGGCUUAAUUCGACGCAACGCGAAGAACCUUACCAAGGCUUGACAUACACCGGAAAGCAUCAGAGAUGGUGCCCCCCUUGUGGUCGGUGUACAGGUGGUGCAUGGCUGUCGUCAGCUCGUGUCGUGAGAUGUUGGGUUAAGUCCCGCAACGAGCGCAACCCUUGUCCCGUGUUGCCAGCAGGCCCUUGUGGUGCUGGGGACUCCCGGGAAGACCGCCGGGGUCAACUCCGGAGGAAGGUGGGGGACGACGUCAAGUCAUCAUGCCCCUUAUGUCUUGGGCUGCACACGUGCUACAAUGGCCGGUACAAUGAGCUGCGAUACCGCAAGGUGGAGCGAAUCUCAAAAAGCCGGUCUCAGUUCGGAUUGGGGUCUGCAACUCGACCCCAUGAAGUCGGAGUCGCUAGUAAUCGCAGAUCAGCAUUGCUGCGGUGAAUACGUUCCCGGGCCUUGUACACACCGCCCGUCACGUCACGAAAGUCGGUAACACCCGAAGCC